rnacentral:rRNA from 1 species
GACAGAGGUGCCAAGCGUUAGGCGGAAUCACUGGGCUUAAAGCGUGUGUAGGUGGAUUUGUAAGUCCCUUGUGAAAUCCCAUGGCUCAACCAUGGAACUGCUCGGUAUACUGCGAAUCUUGAGCCACUUAGGGGCUACCGGAACAAAUGGUGGAGCGGUGAAAUGCGUAGAUAUCAUUUGGAACGCCAAUGGUGAAAACAGGUAGCUGGGAGUGUGCUGACACUGAGACACGAAAGCCAGGGGAGCGAACGGG